AUUGAACGCUGGCGGCAUGCCUUACACAUGCAAGUCGAACGGCAGCACGGGUGCUUGCACCUGGUGGCGAGUGGCGAACGGGUGAGUAAUACAUCGGAACAUGUCCUGUAGUGGGGGAUAGCCCGGCGAAAGCCGGAUUAAUACCGCAUACGAUCCACGGAUGAAAGCGGGGGACCUUCGGGCCUCGCGCUAUAGGGUUGGCCGAUGGCUGAUUAGCUAGUUGGUGGGGUAAAGGCCGACCAAGGCGACGAUCAGUAGCUCGUCUGAGCGGACGACCAGCCACACUGGGACUGAGACACGGCCCAGACUCCGACGGGAGGCAGAAGUGGGGAAUUUUGGACAAUGGGGGAAAGCCUGAUCCAGCAAUGCCGCGUGUGUGAAGAAGGCCUUCGGGUUGUAAAGCACUUUUGUCCGGAAAGAAAUCCUUGGCUCUAAUACAGUCGGGGGAUGACGGUACCGGAAGAAUAAGCACCGGCUAACUACGUG
rnacentral:rRNA from 1 species